rnacentral:rRNA from 1 species
AGAGUUUGAUCAUGGCUCAGAUUGAACGCUGGCGGCAGGCCUAACACAUGCAAGUCGAGCGGUAGAGAGAAGCUUGCUUCUCUUGAGAGCGGCGGACGGGUGAGUAAUGCCUAGGAAUCUGCCUAGUGGUGGGGGAUAACGUUCGGAAACGGACGCUAAUACCGCAUACGUCCUACGGGAGAAAGCGGGGGAUCUUCGGACCUCGCGCCAUUAGAUGAGCCUAGGUCGGAUUAGCUAAUUGGUGAGGUAAUGGCUCACCAAGGCGACGAUCCGUAACUGGUCUGAGAGGAUGAUCAGUCACACUGGAACUGAGACACGGUCCAGACUCCUACGGGAGGCAGCAGUGGGGAAUAUUGGACAAUGGGCGAAAGCCUGAUCCAGCCAUGCCGCGUGCAGGAUGAAGGCCUUCGGGUUGUAAACUGCUUUUGUACGGAACGAAAAGACUCUGGUUAAUACCUGGGGUUCAUGACGGUACCGUAAGAAUAAGCACCGGCUAACUACGUGCCAGCAGCCGCGGUAAUACGUAGGGUGCAAGCGUUAAUCGGAAUUACUGGGCGUAAAGCGUGCGCAGGCGGUUAUAUAAGACAGAUGUGAAAUCCCCGGGCUCAACCUGGGAACUGCAUUUGUGACUGUAUAGCUAGAGUACGGCAGAGGGGGAUGGAAUUCCGCGUGUAGCAGUGAAAUGCGUAGAUAUGCGGAGGAACACCGAUGGCGAAGCAAUCCCCUGGGCCUGUACUGACGCUCAUGCACGAAAGCGUGGGGAGCAAACAGGAUUAGAUACCCUGGUAGUCCACGCCCUAAACGAUGUCAACUGGUUGUUGGGUCUUCACUGACUCAGUAACGAA